GGGCGCAUGGUGUAGUUGGUUAUCACAUCCGCUUAGCAUUGCGCGUUUGCGGGGGGUGCUGGGUUCAAUUCCCAGUGCGUCCA